rnacentral:lncRNA from 1 species
GUCGCUGCGUUUGCGGCUUCCCGAAGCCGUCGGGGCCUUGCUGGGCUUCCUUUCCGGCUGACUUCCUCCCCACCCCCGCUAUGGGGUGGAGACAAAGCCUUGGGGAGUUAGCAGUGCUGUUUUGUUGGCAACGACCACUCUCCUGGUUCUAGAAAAACUGGAAAUAACCUGUGGUUAUGCUUCCCUGUGAUCAGCCACUUCCUGACCCAGCCCCUGACCAGGAAGGAGAGCUUCCUACCAACAAGCUAAUCAGGAACAUCAGGUUUACAGAGAGCCAGUGGAGGAGCUGCUCCACUCUACGCGGGGGACUUCGAGGCCACACCCUGAAACUGCUGUCGGAAAGAGAGAUCACCGUAAGAAAAAUACAGGUCUUUUCCCAAGUCAAAGAAAGGCUUCUUUUCCUCCUAACUUUGAUCAUACCACUUAAUCAUUCACAGUCUAAGCUCAAUGUCCUGCUAUUUAUAUAGAGAGAAAUUCUUCCAGGAAAUGGGCCACAUGCCUUUGCAUUCCACAUAGUAUUUCUUUUAUAACAGGUAUAAUGUGUUUUUCGAGGGAAUGGCUUAUAUCUAAGAGUAAUACUUCAUCUAUGGACUAUAUAAAAUGGCCUCAAAUUCAUCACAGAAGCAAAAGGAAAGCUAUGGAUGUUGGGUAGCCCGUUCCAGCACACACACACACACACACACACACACACACACACACACACACACACUCUCACACACAUCUAUGAUCAACUGUAUUAGGGAAAUGCUGGAUUAUAAUACUUAAAUUGUUUAUUGACUUCAAAACGUCUCAAGUUCUUAAAUAUGCUAAUGUGUGAAAUGUAAUUAUAAGAGGAGAACAUAAUUUGGAGUAUUUUACCCAAAUGUUUUUGAUCAAUGGGACCCUUUUGUGUUGCAUAAUGUUACUCAAACACAUUCAGUCUUUGUAUGUUAUACAAUCCCGAUUUAUUAAAGGAUGUGCAUUUGCCUAAGACGGGUGACAUCUGGGAGUGUGCACUGGAUUGGACAGAACUCCAAGGGAGGACGGUGAUGAAAAUUCAAUGCAAAACUAGCUUCGGUUAAACUAAAAUGCACCAGCUGUGCAGCUGAGACCCAUUAUAAAGCAUCUUCGUUCAGGGCUGAGUAGGUAUUUGUCUUUGCUCUUUCUUGGUCAUUUUCUCUCUCUCUUUCUGCCUUUCAGUUCUGCUUUUCCGUUACCACCUCCUCCCGACAAGGCUCUUUCUAUGAGGUGGCAAACCUGUGAUUUCAGAAGGGAAGGGGCCUCUUUUCUGGGAAUCCCAGCACAACCUAGAGAGGGUGCUCAUUGGCCAGUUUGGGUGAUGGAUCCAUUUGUAAUCCAAACACUGUGGACAGGGGAAUGCAGGAUAACGGGGGGCUCAGGUCAAGGUCCCAUGUUCACCCCAUGACGGAGGUGAAAGAGGAGUUAUUUCCACUCAACUACACAGAAUAGGGUCUAAGAGAGACACAAGGCAGAAGAAGAGAUGCCAGGCAGGCAAAAAAAAUCAACAGAUGUCUACUGCUUUUUUCAUGCACACCUCAAAUCUGGCGGGGUGCCUCCUUCCGCAGGCUUCCCACUUGUUUUAAGCCUAUGCCACUGCUGUCAUAUCUGGUGCCUCAAUGAGUCAUGAAAUUGAUCAGCUAUCUUCACUUGGAAGGAAACAUUUCUCAGACAGCACCCUUCUCUCUUUUCCUUGCACAAAUGGCUAACUCUGUAAGCCAAACAGUGACAAGAUUCUCUGUCUCUCUCUCUUGGUUUUUUGUUUUUGUUUUUUGUUUUUUUUUUCACUUUUUAGGUCCGCGCUCGAGGCAUAUGGAAUUUCCCGGGCUAGGGGUUAAAUCAGAGCUGCAGCUGCUGGCCUACGCCACAGCCACAGCAACACUGGAUCUGAGCCACGUCCACGACCUACACCACAGUUCAUGGCAAUGCCGGAUCCUUACUCCCUGCUGAGCAAGGCCAGGGAUUGAACAUGCGUCCAGGUUCCUUUCCGCUGAGCCGCAGCACAAACUCCAAGGAUGUUUUUCCUUAGCAGGUCACCAUGAGGAGCUCUUUUCUGAUCAUUUGGAUUCAGCUGGUCUGGGAUGGUGCUUAUUCAUCUAUAUUUUCCCCAGAGUUCCACAGUUAAUCCAAAUGCACACUCACAUUUGAAGACCACUGUUUGAAAAGAGUAAGAUGUUUAAGGUAAGAUCAGGGAACUAGAUUUCAAGGUUUAACACAAGACUGGUGGCUAAAACUAUGUGGGCGGACAGCUACCAUAACUCGAGAACGGCCAUGAAUGUGAGCAGCCUGGAAGCUGCAUGGCCCCAGCAUUCGAAAGCAGAUGCUGCAGAAAGAACUCGAGCCAGGCAGGCUAAGGACAUGUGAUGUGGACUUCGGAAGCCCUUUCAGGUAACGGGCAUGACUGAGCAAUACUUGGAAACCGAAAAGGAUGAAGGCUUACAAUUCAGCAAGCUGAGAGCUUUUGGGAAAGGGAUGGGGCAGAGAACAGGAGGAGAGGGUUUGAGCAAAGGCACCUGAACUUGCAAGGUCAAGAGGCAGAGCUUUAAGCAGCAACAGCUUCUACAGGAAGACGAAGGAUAAAAUACACAUUUUCCAAGACCAUAAGCCAGUUGUCUCAGCCCUCCUGACACGUGGAUAACAAUGCUUCAGCGGUGUCAUCUUAGACUAUGGAAGGAUCCUGAAGGACCCUGAGCAAGGUCUGAAGAAAGAACAACAAAAUGAGAGGAGAAUAAAGAAACAGCAAGAAGCAUGAAUGUAGAAGCUGAGUCAACGGAGCCCAGGCUACCAGAGGCCCUGGCUCUCUAAGGCUGCUACUCACAAUGGCCAUCACCACCACCUACAGCACCUGCCAUUCCCUACCAUUUAUUGAGGACUUGCUGUGUGCCAAGGACUGAAGAAGCAGGCCAGCACCUCUGAUCAUCUAACUUGUAAGUGGCAGAUCCUGGAUCUGAACCAAAGUAUGCCUAAAUGCAAAGCCACGCUUUCACACCCUGAGAGAUGGUGAAUACAGACAGUCUCCAGUGAGACACGGCUAUAUAUUUGCCAAAAAUUUUUUAUACUGUUUCGCUUUCCUUUGUACUCCCUAUGCAGCCUCUCAAUAAACAAGGUUCCCU